UGGCGUCGCUAGAGAGCUCUUCAUCGAGAUAGCGUUGCGAAUAUCUCGAGAGAACAGUUUCGCAAAUGAGUUCGUUGAAUACUUGUGUGUAAGAGAUUCAGGACUGAGAAAACGAUAAACGCACUACGCCCGUAGAAGCCCUGUUUUAAUUCUGAAGGACCCGGGUUCGAUUCCCGGCACCUCCACAA
rnacentral:tmRNA from 1 species